rnacentral:pre_miRNA from 3 species
UCAGUAACAAGGAUUCAUCCUGUUGUGGUACUCAAAUCCAACAGGGAAUCUCUGUUACUGGGG